GGUAGAAAUUACAAAUAAGGGCUUUAUAGCUCUGCCUGUUCCAAAAGCCCAGGAGAAGAAGAGGAAAAGCCCAAUCAUUUUGGAUUUGGGAAGAGGGUGGAAUUUGACUCCUGAUUCUGUGACCUUGAGCUUCAUAGAGGAAAUGAAAGACUCCUCUAUGGAAAGGUAAGCAUUUGCAUUUGUAUGAAUCACAAGAUUAAACUGUUUUAGCCUCAUUAACAUAGCAUUAACAUAGUCUCAUGACCUGUAAGGACUAUUUUUGUAUAUUAUUUAAAAAUUACCCUCCAGACCUUAGCAUGAAGAUGAGGAAGUUACUAGGACUUUACGCCAACUCCACGGAGCAUUGCCACCAUCUAUCAGAUUUAUAAGCAAGCUGACUACCAAGUUUCACUUCUUUCUAUUCCUCCUCAGUUUCCAGCAUAUGGAUACAUUUUUCAUGCUGCAAAUUAUUUGUAGGUAGUUAUUUUUAUAUAUUUUCAGAUGAAAUACACAUUUCUAAGUGAAUACUUGAAAAGCCAAAUCCAUCUUUGCAUGAAAAACCAUCGUUUAAAGAUGUUAUUGAUUUCUUCGCAAACAUAGGUUGAAGGCACUCAUGGCAAAGGUUUAGGGUGUCCUUUCCUGCAGUCUUGAUUCUGAAUUAGUCUAGUUGAUGCCACUGAAUCACAAAAUGUAGCCUACUCAAUAUCCCUAAGCAGCUAACCACUAUUAGCUUUAUACAGAGUACUCUCAACAGGUUCAUGUAAUGGCAAGAUGAUGCUGGAAAAUGAGGGGGAAAAAAAUUAAACAGACUCUUGCUAGAGCCAUAAAUGAUGUUUAUAACUGUACAGCAGCAGUUCUCUGUGGGUGGGGUGAUUAGUAUGUUUUAAGAAAGCAAAUUCAGUCUGUUUUGUGUGUGUUUCCCUUUUUAAAAAGUAAUAUAAACUACAGAAAGUAAAGCUUUGUAGUUGGAGCAGACAUGCAGAAGAUGCAAAAGGUUUAUGGGUAAUAAGGAUUAAGAAACACAACUAUAAAGAAAUAAGACUGAUUUUUCAUUAACUUACCAGAACUGAGUGAUUUCCCUUUCAAAAGAGUUAUCUAAGAACAAAGUUCUGGGUAAUGCCUUAAAAGUCACAGGCAUGGCCGGGCACAGUGGCUCACGCCUGUAAUCCCAGCACUUUGGGAGGUCAAGGUGGGCAGAUCACAAGGUCAGGAGUUCAAGACCAGCCUGGCCAACAAAGUGAAACCCCAUCUGUACUAAAGAUACAAAAAAUUAGCCAGGCAUGGUGGCGCAUGCCUGUAAUCCCAGCUACUUGGGAGGCUGAGGCAGGAGAAUUGCUUGAACCCGGGAGGCAGAGGUUGCAGCCAGCCAAGAUCACGCCAUUGCACUCCAGCCUGGGUGACAGGGUGUGUCUCUGUCUCAAAAAAAAAAAAAAGUCACAGGCAUAUGACCAUGUACUUGAACAAGCCUAUAAAGACAUAAAUGGGUGGAGUUUGUCGUUGUAAUCAAAUUCACUGCAAAGCUAACCUGACACAUAAUAGCAGCCUUAUUUAUAAGGUUGCUUUAUAGUUUACAUAACACUUCCCCACAUUCUAUUUGCCACAUAAUUAAUGACAGACAUAAUUGUGCCACAUGCUAAUUAAGCUUAAUUAGUAAGUUCUUAUGAAUGACUACAAUUGGUGGGACUUGUUUGCUACCAAAAGCAAAUUUUCAGUUCUCUAUUAAUUAGUUACCUACUAUUUAUAAUCAGGAUCAGUUAAGUUAUAUUUUCUGUUUUGUAUCCUACAUGUUGAUCCUCAUGUAUAUUAAGAAACAAAACUCCUGGCGGGGCACAGUGACUCACAGCGCUUUGGGAAGCCAAGGCAGGAGGAUCUUUUCAGGCCAGGAGUUCGAGACUAGCCUGGGCAACAUAGUGGAACCCCAUCUCUACAAAAAAUAAAAAAUUAGCGAGGUACAGUGGCACAUGGCUGUAGUCCUAGCUACUUAGGAGACUGAUGGGGGGAUUGCUUGAGCCCAGGAGUUCCAGGUUACAGUGAGCUGUGACCUGUACUCCAGCCUGGGUGACAGAGCAAGAUCCUGUCUCUUGAAGGAAAAAAGGAAACAAAUUCCUGAGACCUUAUUCCUAGGCAGCUGAACUUCCUUCACUCCAGGACACUCGUUGUUACCAACUCUCAACCUCUACCAGUCCCCUUAUUCCCACAUCUCUCACUAGCACUCAUCUAUCACACUCAGGGGGACUUGUAUAUAACAUGUAACAUUCAUUCACCAGCAAGUAUUUGUUGAGCACUAUGUGCCAGAGAUUUGAGCAAGGCACUGGAAAUAUAUGCAAUGGUUGGCAAAGCAGCCUGGUCCCUGCUCUCAUGGAUCUCACAGACUAAGGGGGCAGACAAAGCCCAGAUUGGAGUGGAGGAGGUAGGCAGGAAGUUACCAUAUUUAUUUCACUUUCUAAACUACAACCUGUCCUUUAUCAAUAAUAAAGAUGAUGGGCUGGGUGGUGGCUCAUGUCUGUAAUCCCAGCACUUUGAGAGGCCAAGGUGAGUGGAUCACUUGAAGUCAAGAGUCCAAGACCAGCCUGGCCAACAUGGUGAAACCUUGUCUCUACUAAAAAUACAAAAAUUAGCCUGGCAUGGUGGCACACUCCUGUAAUCCCAGCUACUAGGGAGGCUGGGGCAGGAGAAUUACUUGAACCUGGGAGGCAGAGAUUGCAGUGAGCUGAGAUCAUGCCACUGCACUCCAGCCUGGGCAACAGAAUGAGACUGUCUCAAAAUAGUAAUAAUAAUAAUAAUAAUAAAGGAUCUCUGUUUGUCUUUUAUUUCUUAUUUGGUUCAGCACUCAGGGAAAACACAGCUGUCAUAGUUUGGGCCCCCUCUACCCUCCAGGAGAGGAUGGUGGUAUAGAAACAGUGCUUGGGGUCAAUAACCUGGUGUGGAGUAGUUGAGGGGGAGCUGAGGUUAGGCAGGAAUUGAUGAGGUGAAGAUACUGGGGAAGUGAAUUCUCAGAAAAGAUGGCCUUUGCAAAAGCCCUGAGGCAGAAUAGAACUUAACAGAUUCAAGAAGCUCAUUUGAUGUGGUUGGAGGGGUCGAUGCAACAGGAGAAAUGGCUAGAAGACUGGAAAAGUGGAGGGUCCUGUCUUGAGGAUACUGAGAAAUCAUGGAAAGGUUUUAAUGACAUUUCCCUGCCCCUUGCAUCUCAACCCAUUAUUUUCCUGGAUAGGCCCUCUUAUCUUCAGGUAUGGAGGUGCUGUGCAGACAAGUGUAGUGUCUUUUCAGGUUGAAACACAUGGGCAAAAACCGUGCUUACGGGGGUAUAGAGUGGAAAGAGUAUGGGCUCAAGAGUCAGAAUGCUUGGGUCUGUAUGAUGUUUUACACAUUUCUUUUUUUCUUUUUCUUUGAGACUGAGUCUUGCUCUGUCGUCCAGGCUGGACUGCAGUGGUGCGAUCUCGGCUCACUGCAACCUCCACCUCCCAGGUUCAAGCAAUUCUCAUGCCUCAGCCUCCUGAGUAGCUGGGAUUACAGGCACCUGCCACCACGCCCAGCUAAGUUUUUUGUAUUUUUAGUAGAGACGGGGUUUCACCAUGGUGGACAGUCUGGUCUCGAACUCCUAACCUCAGGUGAUCCUCCCACUUCGGCCUCCCAAAGUGCUGGGAUUACAGGCAUGAGCCACCGCACCUGGCCAAAUGUUUUACUAAUUUCGUAACCUUACCAAGCCACUUUCUUUUUUAUACAAUUGGGAAUGUAACAUUUCUACCCUUCAUCAGCUCUAGUAAUGCCCUCUUUCUAACACAAGUUUCAAGCUCCUUUUUGGGAAAGGAAUCACAGAAUCAUAAUUGUUAAAUCAUGAAGAGGCUUUAAAGUUCUAUCUGCCUAUGAUAUUUGGAUACCUUCUGCAACACUGAGGAUCAGUUGGUUUAUUGUCCAGUAUUGUGUCCAGAAACAGGAAGCUCACCACUGUCUGAAGCAGCCACUCUAUGUUGGGGCCCUAUUGAAAGGGUUUUGGAGGGGACCUAAUCCAAAUCUGCUUCCCUGUGUUCUCUCUCCAGGGGUCUUGGUAGUACCCCUAAUGCCUUUUCCAUGUGACAGCCCUCCAGGGACUAGAAGUCAUUAUCUCUACGGGACCACUUACUCACCUAGAAUGGAAAAGCUUGUUUCUUCAGCUUUUCUAACAACACUAAUCAAACGGUCAAUUCCUCGAGCAAACACAAUCCUGAAACAUUUAUGUACCUAAUAAUAGAGCUUAAAAACAUGAAGUAAAGUUAGUGGGAGAGUUUAAUAAUAAUAGCUAUCAUUUACUGAUUACCUAUACUGCACUCACUGUUAAAGAUACACAGAUAAUUCUCCAUCAGUUCUGUCAAAGUCAAACAAGUAAACAAGUGUCAUACAAUGUUACAGAUACUGUAACGGAGAGGUCUGUGCAGGAAAAAGGCAGGGCGAGCACUAAGGGAACAGUGGUCUUUGUGAGAAAGAGGCCUGCCUCUAAUGGGAGAUGACACAAACUGCACCUUAACAAUUGAGUAAUACCUUCUUUGAGGUGGACUUACCCAUUUGUAGUAUUUAUUAAAAUAUCAUUUUAGAGACUUUAGUCACACCAACUGUUCUUCAAAACAUCCACUGUCAGUAACUCAAAUGCAUUCCUACAAGAAAUGUGUUUUCCCAGUUAUUCUUUACAUAGCUUCUGUUCGAGUCAAUAAUGGAAACCAGGCAAGGAAGAAAAGUGGACUACUGUAAUUUGCUGUACCUGCAAAUGCAUAGUGCAAGUGUUUGGAAGGGUGGAGCCGCAACUAGUCUUUCCUAAGCACUGAAAUAGAAGAGCCGAAGCAUAUUGUGAGAUUAGGCCAUACAAUAAAGGCCCUACAAGAUGUGGGGAGCAGUAAAGCAUUUGCGCCACCGACUGAUUGCAAGCUAUGUGAAAGCAACAUGGGACUCACACCGCAAGGUUUGUUCCUUUGUGUUGGGCCCUGUGCUAGAUGCUGGGGUAAAGAUGACCUGCCCAGGCAGAUAAGGCAAGCACACAAGGUAAUCCAAGACAGAAAGUGCUAGAGAACCUUGGAAAAGGAUUAUUUGAUGUGUCCUGGAAGUUCUGAGAACCUGGGAAGAUGAAAUUAGCCUUCCUUGAGGAGGCAGCAUAUCUAAGAAUAAACAUACUGAUGCAGUCCUCCCAACCUCCUGAAGUGGGUACUUCUCUCUGAGAGCCAUAGGGAGCAAAUUCAGUAAACCUGAGGAAGAAACUAAUGACUCGAAGAUGUACAAGUGGCAAACAGGUAUAUGAAAAGAUCAUCAACAUAAUUGAUCAUAACAGAAAUACAAAUCAAAACAGAUAACAUCUCACCCAAGUUAAAAUGGCUUUUAUCCAAAAGAGAGGCAAUAAGAAAUGCUGGCAAGGAUGUAGAGAAAAGGGAACACUCAUACACUGUUGAUGGGAAUGUAAAUUAGUACAGCCACUAUGGAGAAGAGUUUAGAGGUUCCUCAAAAUCUAAAAAUAGAGCAUAGCAAUAUACGAUGUAGCAAUCUCACUACUAGGUAACCACAAAAACUAAAAAUUAUUUUUUGAGACUGAGUCUCACUCUGUUGCCCAGGCUGGAGUGCAAUGGUGUGAUCUCAGCUCACUGCAACUUCCGCCCAGGUUCAAGCAAUUCUUGUGCCUCAGCCUCCUGAGUAGCUGGGAUUACAAGCGUGCACCACCAUGCCUGGCUAAUUUUUGUAUUUUUGGUAGAGACAGGAUUUCACCAUGUUGGCCAGGCUGGUCUCCAACUCCUGACCUCAAGCGAUCCACCCACCUCAGCUUCCCAAAGUGCUGGGAUUACAGGCGUGAACCAUCGCAUCCGGCUUCAUUUCUUUUUUAAAUAAUUUUUAGGCCAGGCACGGUGGCUCACACCUGUAAUCUCAGCACUUUGGGAGGCCGAGGCACAUGGAUCACUUGAGGUCAGGAGGAGUUCGAGACCAGCCUGGCCAACAUGGUGAAACCCCGUCUCUACUAAAAAUACAAAAAUUAGCUGGGCGUGGUGGCGCACACCUGUAGUCCCAGCUACUCAGGAGGCUGAGACAGGAGAAUUACCUGAACCCAGGAGGCAGAGGUUGCAGUGAGUCGAGAACGCACCACUGCACUCCAGCCUGGGCAACAGAGCGAGACUCUGUCUCAAAAAAAAAAAAAAAAAAGAAAAAGAAAAAAGAAAAAAAAAAACAAGAAAUGAGAGGCAGAAACAAGACAGGAAAAUUCAGUGGAAGCUAAAACUAAUAUUUUUCAAAUUUGUUAAAGAAGAAGCCUUUCAAGAAACAGUUAUAAAACUAAGGAUCUUGAAAUAUUCCCUGAAACAAGAAACAAAUAAUGAGAAAGUGUAGAAAAAUUACAGUGUGGAAGGCUUCUACCCUUAGAACUUAAGAAUGAUAAAACAAGUGUUAUAAGUAAAAAGGAUUGAUGGAGACAAUUCAGGAACAGGAAUAUCCAGUGGAAGUUCAUAGACCCCAGUCCCUACCCCAUUACCCAGAUGAAGGAACUGAUGUCCCAAGAGGAGACACUUAAGACAGUGCUCCUUUCACCUAGCAGAGCACAGCACUGCAGUCCAUUGAUGAAUUUCGUGCAAGCCCUUCCUCAACGGAUUUGAUGUAACAAAGGAACUUACUCAAGAAAACUCGGUUUCACUUCCAUCCUUCAUAGAGGGAUUGAUUAUUGUCUCCUCUGCUGGGACACUGGCACAAGUUUAUCAGCUCUUCCCUCCAGCUCUUCAUUGGCUACCUUUCCCCCCAGUCCCCCUGCCUUUUUUUUUUUUUGAGACAGUCUCACUCUGUUGCCCAGGCUGGAGUGCAGUGGCGUGAUCUCAGCUCACUACAGCCUCAACUUCCCGGGCUCAGGUGAUUCUCUCACCUCAGCCUCACAGGCACAUGCCACCAAGCCCAGCUGAUUUUUUGUAGAGAUGAGGUUCGCCAUGUUGCCCAGGCUGGUCUCUAACUCCUAGGCUCAAGUGGUCCACCUGCCUCAGCUUCCCAAAGUGCUGGGACCAGGCGUGAGCCACCACUUCUGGCUGCCUUUUUUCUUUAAAGUAGUUUUCUUCAGGUUCUAUUGUUGUUGUUGUUGUUAAGACAUUACCAUAUACCAUAAAAUUCACCUUUUUAAAGUCUACAGUUCAUGCUUUUUAGUAUAUUCCCAAGGUUGUACAAACAUUACUGCUAUCUAAUUCCAGAACAUUUUUAUCUUCCCAUAGAGAAGCUUCGAACCCAUUAGUGGACAUUUCCAAUUCCAUCUCCUUGACUGGCCAACCACUAAUCUACUGUCUGUCUCUGUGGAUUUACCUAUUCUAAAUAUUUCAUAUGAAUUGAUUCAUAUGAUAUGUGGCCUCUUGUGUCUUGCUUUUCUUACUUAAUGUUUUUAUGGUUUACCUGUGUUGUAACAUGCAUCAGUAUUACAUUCUUUUUUACAGUUGAGCAAUAUUCUAUCAUACAGAUAUACUACAUAUUGUUUAUCCAUUAUCAGUUAAUGAACUUUUGGGCUGUUUCUACCUUUUGACUAUUGUAAAUAGUCCUGCUAUGAACAUUCAUGUACAAGUUUUUGUAUAGACAUAUGUUUUCAUUUCUCUUAUAUACCUGGGUAUAAACCUGGAAGUGGAAUUGCUGAGUCAAAUGGUAACUCUAUGUUUAACUUUUUGAGGAACUGCCAGACUGUUUUCCAAUGUGGCCACACCAUUUUAUGUUGCCACCAACAAUGUAUGAGGGAUCCAAUUUUGCCACAUUCUUGCCAACAUUUGUCUCUUUAAUUAUAGCCAUCCUAGUCAGUAUAAAAUGGUAUCUCAUUGUGGUCCUAAUUUGCAUUUCCCUAAUGACUAUUGAUAUUCAGCAUCUCUUCAUGUGCUUAUUGGCCAUUUGUGUAUCUCUAGAAAAACAUCUAUUCAAAUACUUUGCUCACUUUUAAUUGGGUUGUCUUUUUGUUAUUGCAUUAUAAGUUAUUUAUAUAAUCUGGUUACUAGAUCCUUAUCAGAUUUGCAAAUAUUUCUUCCAUUCUCUGGACUUAAAUUUCUUGAAAUAUCCUUUGAAGCACUAUUGAACUACUUUUUUUUUUUCCACCAGUUGUCAAAUGAUCCUUUAUUGAAAUAUUUUCCUUUGUGCUUAACUGGCUGGGCAUUCCACAGAACCACUGUUGAUAUCAUCUAUGAUGUCAUGAGGGUGGCAGCCAUCAACAUUACAGCCCACAGACUGGGCAGUCCCCAUGAUCUCUUUAAUGGUGCCAGAGAGUCUAUUGAACUACUUUUAACAAAUAUUUAUCUGGGCAUGGGGCAUAUACCUGUAAUCCCAGCACUUAGGGAGGCCCAGGCAGGUGGAUCGCUUGAGCCCAGAAAUUCGAGACCAGCCUGGGCAACAUGGCAAAACCCCAUCUCUACAAAAAAUACAAAAAUUAGCCAGGUGUGGUGGCAUGUGUCUGUAGUCCCAGCUACUCCAGAGGCUAAAGUGAGAGGAUCGCUUGAGCCGGGCAGGUGGAGGCUGCAGUGAGCUACGAUGCACCACUACAUUCCAGCCUGGGCAACAGAGACCCUGCCUCAAAUAAAUACAUUCAUUAAAAAGACAAAUAUUUAAAAAUUUUAAAGCAAACCAGAUUAGAAAUGUGUAGUUGUUCAUUUUUAUUUAUUUAUUUAUUUUGAGAUGGAGUCUCGCUCUUGUCCCCCAGGCUGGAGUACAGUGGUGCGAUCUCGGCUCACUGCAACCUCCACACCUCCCAGUUCAUGCGAUUCUCCUGCCUCAGCCUCUCGAGUAGCUGAGAUUACAGGCAUGCGCCACCACGCCCAGCUAAUUUUUGUAUUUUUAGUAGAGACGCGGUUUCGCCUUGAUGGCCAGGCUGGUCUUGGACUCCUGACCUCAGGCGAUCCGCCCACCUUGGCCUCCCAAAGUGCUGGGAUUACAGGUGUCAGCCACUGUGUCCAGCCACCCUACAGCUUUAGGAGUAAACGAUUGUAUACAGACCAUGUUCUGAGGCUUCCAAACCGAGUCUUGAGUUCAUUAAGGGAUCCAUCAUAGUGAUAGCUAUAGCUGUUACAGCGUUUACAUGCCAGGCGCUGUUUGGGCACUCUACAUGUAUUAACCUAUUUAACUCUCAUAACAAUCCUAUGAGGCAGAGACUGUUAUCAUACUCAUUGCACAGAUGAGAAAAUGGAGGCAGAGAGGGAGGUUCAGUAAUUUGCCUGAAGUCAAAUAGUAGGGUACCAGAGACGGGCUCCAGAUUUUGUUGCUUUCAACCACUUGCUAUACUGCCAAGGUGGAAUUUUGCAUUUCAAAGAAUGCCUACUCCCUCGCUUUGGAGAGAGUAGUGUUUUAAUGAUGUCUGCACUGUGGACAUUUUUCCUGUCCUUACCGCUCCAGAAACUAGUAGAGCUCCCUGUCCAGGUGUCUUCGUUACACAUGUGCCUUCCUAGUCUGGAGUCCACGGCUUCAAGAUCCUCUCUCCUCCCCGUGGGUCUGACCGAGGCUUUAAUGCUCUUUGAAGUAACAGCGAAAUAGCCCUUUGUCUCUCAAGUGGAGUGGUUCUAAAUUUCUGAUAACCAAUGAGCGCCGAGGAACCGCGGAUUCCGCCCAGGGAGGCUCAAAGCUGAGCCGUGGGUGGAGCCUGCGGAGGGGGCGGAACUGAGCCGCAGCGGCGUACCUACUGUGUGCCGCGUGCGCUGCCUGGAGCGGAGCUAUGAGCUGGACCUGUCCGCGUUGCCAGCAACCUGUUUUCUUCGCUGAGAAGGUGAGCUCCCUGGGCAAGAACUGGCACCGCUUCUGCCUGAAAUGUGAGCGCUGCCACAGCAUCCUGUCCCCUGGCGGGCAUGCAGAGCACAAUGGGAGGCCAUACUGCCACAAGCCAUGCUAUGGGGCUCUCUUUGGACCCAGGGGGGUGAACAUUGGUGGUGUAGGCUCCUACUUGUACAAUCCCCCCACUCCCAGCCCUGGCUGCACCACUCCUCUCAGCCCCAGCAGCUUCAGCCCUCCCAGGCCAAGGACUGGCCUCCCACAAGGCAAGAAAAGCCCUCCCCAUAUGAAGACAUUCACUGGGGAGACCUCGCUGUGCCCUGGCUGUGGGGAGCCCGUCUAUUUUGCUGAGAAGGUGAUGUCAUUAGGCAGAAAUUGGCACCGACCGUGUCUGAGGUGCCAGCGUUGCCACAAGACCCUGACUGCUGGGAGUCAUGCUGAGCAUGAUGGAGUCCCCUACUGCCACAUCCCCUGCUACGGCUACCUGUUUGGCCCCAAAGGUGUGAACAUUGGCGAUGUGGGCUGCUACAUCUAUGACCCAGUGAAGAUAAAAUUCAAAUGAGACGCUCACAAAAAAGGGAACAGCCUGUUUUGAAGGGUGUCCUCCUCCUGGCCAUCACAACCCCUUUCCCCAGCACAUUCUGGAGCUUCAAGCUAAGAAAACUAGGACUUCUUUCAGUUGGUCUUCCCACCCACCUUCAGGCCAGGAGACCUCAAGCCAGCACCCACCAGAGGACAGGGCCCCCAUUCUGACAGAGUACCAAUCAGAGUUUCUCGCCCAGGCUGGAGUGCAAUGGCAUGAUCUCAGCUCACUGCAACCUCCAUCUCCCAGUGGUGGGGAUGGAGAUGCUCAUGGCAGCUGAGACGAGUGGGUCUCGAAUGAUGGAUGUGGCCCCCUGGAGCCAGCUGCCUGCAGUCCUCACCAGAGGCUGAGGAUGCCUGGGGCACAAGGCAGGGUGACAGCUAGCAGAAGCCAUCGCCAGUCCCGUAUCAGCCCUCUAGGUCCUGCCUGUUUCUUGCCUGCCUCACCCAGUGGCAUCACGAUGAUGGUAAAACCAGCCAGGGCUGAGCCAGUAAGGGUGCGGGUGAUGGCGAACAUUACAUAGCUGACGGAGGCUGCAGAUGCCAGGCCCAGCACCAGGGUACUCACAUAGGCUACCAGCAGCAGACGCCGCCGCCCAAACCUGCAAAGGGGUCAUGCAGGGUCAGUUCCCUGUGGAAGGAGGUUCUAAGGCAUAGGUAGACUAGGCUCAUACCCCAGCUAGUGGGAGAAAGUUCCCCCAGCCAGUUUCUUAUUGGCCCAGUGCCUCACCCCACCUGUCGGACAGAUAUCCAAAGGCCACAGCCCCCACCAGCACACCGGCGAAGAAGAAAGUGGACGCAGCUCUGUUCAGACCUUUCUGCUCACACACCAGAUCCCACUGCAAGGACAGGCAGAAAGGGACCUCCCAUGAACAUCAGCCCCUCUCCAGCAGGCACCAGCUCCUCCUCUCCAGACCCUGGAGCCUUCUGAGGCGAACUCUGCCAUUCUGGUACCUCCAUGCCAGAUAAUAAACCUCCCAACGAUUCACGCCAGCUUGGGGAAUAGGAAACUUUGUCCCUCCCCAGUCCUGCAGCCUCAGCUUCUUCCCAAGGAAGGCCUCGACCUGCUGCCUCCCAGGGAGACUGCCUCCACCGACAUUCCACCUCCAGAUGGAUUAUGUAAAUACCGACCUGGGACUGGAAAAGAGGAAGGGAGAAAAGAAGGCCUCUAUUGUUUCUCCACCUCUUGCUGCAGAAAUUGCCUUCUCAGCUCUUUGUCUCAACUCCCUGAAGCCACUUUAGCCCUUCCCUGCCUUAAUCACCUCCCAAUUAAUGAUGAUGAUAACAGUU